rnacentral:rRNA from 1 species
GACGUAGGUGGCGAACGUUAUCCAGAAUCAUUGGGCGUAAAGGGUGCGUAGAUGGCUUGAUAAGUUAGCAGUGGGAAAUCGAGGCUCAACCUCGUGGAAGCUGGUAAUACUGUCAGGCUCGAGUGCAGGAGAGGUUAACGGAACUCCAUGUGGAGCGGUAAAAUGUGUAGAUAUAUGGAAGAACAUCAAUAACGGCGAAGGCAGUUAAACUAUUCUGUUACUGACGUUGAGGCACGAAAGCGUGGGGGAGCAAAACGG